AAGUAUGGACUUGAAUAUGACAGUCUUUUCACUGAUGUCCAGGGAAUUUCUACCUUACAGUGCCCGGGGAAUGGGAUCUGGGGCUAGCUUUCUUCCUGAGAAAACCAGUCCUGGCUUUUGGGAUAUGGCUUCUCAUAUCUUGAAAGUACUCUGAUAUUCUGAAAGGAUGGUUGGUUGACACUACUGAGAGUCUACAGGGAGUGUGGGAAGUUACUCUUAGCAAACCUCAUAUUUUGGAAAGACAGAACCCAGGAAAGUUUAAUAAUUCCUGUAGGGACAGGAGUGCAGGCUGAGGUUGUUCACGGGAUGCAGGUGCUGUUCAACUUCUAAGUGCGGGCUGAGUUUAAUUCAACCCCCUUGGCCAGCACAGGCCCAGACAGGGCCUGGCUCUUUCUAGUCACCAAGUUGCCCUGACUCCCUGCCUUCUAGCAGAAUAACAAUUCGGGGGCAAUGUAGCGCUUGCCUUAUCUUCUUUGGGCUAGUUGGAGUUUCAGAGCAAAUACAUUCUUCUCUAGCCGGCUUAGCUUAAAGUCUGUUUACUUGUCCCCAGGAUAGGUGAAUAUUCAGAGGGCUCUGGGAAUGAGACCCAACAAACUGGACUUUGGUCCUCUCUUGCCACCAAUCACUCUGAUUCCUCCAGCUCCUACCUAGGGGAAUGUGUCAGCUAUAGAAGCAAUCUUGGCAUGCAGACUGGGGCAUAUCUCUUUAGGAAACUAGGUGCUGGGCUCAAAGUGAGCUGGGUUUAAGGUUUUAGUCCCCACAGUUUGGGGACACAAGCCAUUCACACAGCCUGCAACUGGGUCAGCACCUAGGAGGCUUUCAAAAACUGGGGCUCAGAUUUGUUCUGACCUCCAAGUAAAAGAAAUAAACAUUCUAGAGAUGCCCUGACACUGAGAUGGUGGAAGAGGGGAAGUUUCCUCAGUGAGCUGUAGAACAAAUGCCCUAGAAACUGCCCCCUGACAAGUAUCCCACUCAACUCCAGGCCGCGAUGGUUCAGGCAGUGGGGGGAUUUUGCAGACAGCAUCCUCCUCUUUGCUCCUCUCCCCCACCCCACCCCAACCCCGCCGUGUAAACACGAGGACUUUCUCGAGAGCCCUGGAGAGCCGCUCUAGUGGCUUCGGGGCCUGAAACCCCAGGCUUGGCUUGUUUGAUGUUUAGCAUCCCAAAGCGGCUCCCCACCCCCGCCCCAGCCUGGGAACCCCGAGCUCCGGGGCCGAAGAGAAGGGGAAGCAGUUCUCUCAGCUGGAGGGCGGUGGAUUGGCUGGGCUUAGAGAAGUGGCGAAAACUACAGGACUCCCCGCCCUGAGCAGGGGAGAAAGGGAUCCCGGAAUGAUGCGGUCAUCCAUGAGGAUAUAGCUGGAGUCCUAAAGGCCAAGAGGCAGACGGGGAAAGAAAUGUCACAAUUUGGGGGAAUACACUGGAGAUAGGGGCCAGGUCGGUGGAAAUAGCUUGGGGCCACCGCGAAAACAAGGUAAGCGGUGUCUGGGUCCAGUUAGUGAGCAUCGAGAACGGCGUCCACGACUGCAGGGCUAUCAGGGCCUCGAGGAGACAGCGCUCCGUGCCACUGCUUAGUGCUUGGCCUUUCAUAGGGACGAACCUGCUUAGGAGUCUUCCAAGAGAUUUUUAAAUCCUCCGAGUCUGGACCUGGAAGCUCCAUUGGCGACGUUUGGAUCUGGCUUCGUAGUCUUUGAUUUCGAAAGCCCAGGAAGAUUCGCAGACUUUCAAGGCCGCACACACCGCAUUGCCGGGAGUCUGGGCGGCGGUGAGGACUGAGAAGCUGUCUCAAGACCUGAGUCUCUUCUCAGGCGAUCCCAGAUAAGAGGAGAGAGAGAGAGCUUUUCUGACUUCCAACUCAUUAGGGACCAGAUUUGCUCUCCAGCACAGCAAAAGGGUCUGCCUGUGACCCUCACCGAACUCACUCUUCACUGCUUUAUAGAGACCAUCAGACUCAGGACAAAUAUUCUAGUUUGGAUGCGCAAUUAAUAAUAAGAAGAUACAGGACAGAGGCGGACUGAAUGGCUCCAAUUCUCAGAAUGUGAAAGCGUAAAUCAGAACCUACUAUUUUGUAAAACCAACUUGGAAAACAAAAUUGUCAGAAGCAAAACAACAACAACAACAACAAUAAAAACCAAACCAACAACAAAACCAAGCAAGUCAGGCUGUUUUACCAAUAAAGGGGGCACUGAAUGGAAUCAGAGAUCUGAUAAGUGCCGGGAAGUUGGACUAAGAGGGACAGGAGACUUCGAAACUUCUCUGAAUACUGCUUUGCUGCUGACUUCCAAGGAGAUCUCACCAGAGCUGAGCUGAAGCCAGGACCAUAGUGUUAUUGACAUUACCCCCAGAGACAUGAAGAAACAUCUGCUGCCCCUAGAUAUGAAACCAACACAGACCAAACCAACUGUCAGUACUGCAAGUGGUCCACCCACCAAAGAGAUGGAACUCAACGUGGUAGAAUAGAAGCUGAGACAUGUGGACUUGACAGACUUGAGACUCGGCUAUUCAUCCCAGCUCUGAGAGCCCAUGCAGCUCAUUGAGCCUUCGCGACUCCUGGUUUUACUUUCAGCAAAAUGGAGAUAUUAAGGUUCGUGUUACCCUGAACCUGUGAGCUCAGAAGGAAUUUUCUGGUUUUCGGGAGACGGCAGCCAUUCAUCAUAGCUCUCCACCACUGACUGACUGAGAGUCAAUUAUCAUCAAACAUCCAUCUGCCCAUGAUGCUAAUUAUUCCUACUCCAUGAUUGAGGAUUUGGAGUCGGAGACUCACCUGCAAUAUUUGGAAUACCAGUGGAGAUCCAUAUCAACAUGGAAUUUAUACAGCAGCUGGUGCCAGUCACAGCUAAUGAUGAAACUUCAGCUUAAUAAAAAGACCCCCAACUGAGUACAACCAUCUCGAAGAAAGUGUACUUAUCAAACAGCUUUCAAUCAGUUCAAGAGAGACACCUUAAUUGUGAAGAGCAAGAACCGCACAGCAGUUGUCACCAUGCCAACUUCAGAUCAAUGGCACUUCCACUGCUCUUGGUACAUAUAGCCUUGCCUAUGUCCUUAACUGCACCAACAUCCUUCCUGUUGGGAUGAGAUCUUGUCAGCUGCUAGCGUGUGAUGAUGCCUUCGUUCAUUACAUUACUAUACCCCUUAGCAAAAUUUAAACGUGUAAUGAUAAAGGUCACUACCUUUUCCUUUAAUUAAGACCUCUAUUUCUUGUUACCAGAAACAAGUGCCUAUGACAUUUUGUAUUUUCAGAAAUUAUCCUGUUGAAAUAAAGCUACACAAACAAAAUAAAA
rnacentral:sRNA from 1 species